GACAGAGGCCCCAAGCGUUAGGCGGAAUCACUGGGCUUAAAGCGUGUGUAGGCGGAUCGUUAAGUGUCUUGUGAAAUCCCACGGCUCACCCGUGGAACUGCUGGGCAUACUGGCGAUCUUGGGCCAACUAGGGGCAGUCGGAACAAGCGGUGGAGCGGUGAAAUGCGUAGAUAUCGCUUGGAACGCCGAAGGUGAAAACAGACUGUUGGGGUUGUGCCGACGCUGAGACACGAAAGCCAGGGGAGCAAACGGG
rnacentral:rRNA from 1 species